GCAGAGAUGGGUUGCUGGUCCUGACGUUUCUCACGAUGAAAAUUAAAAGAAACCAAUUUGCAAAUUCAUUCAACUCAGACUUGGAAGUGCCUGUACAUUGCCGAAAUGGCGUGCCUCGUGUGUCUUGCUGCCUGUUCUUAGGCGUACGUCUCAUCCCAUGCAACAGCAAAAAGUAUAACAAACACUUCUUUAACACUGUUGGUUACCUUGUUGCAGCCAAAUGGUGAAAGGUGUGACAAAGACAGAUUGAACCGUUGUAUGCAGCAUGAGGUUGCAGUGUGAUCCAGAAGUAGCCGUGUUGGACCUGAAAUUGCUGUGCUGUUGUACCGGAGCUGUUCCAUCUGGGUUCCUGACUUGAAAAUUUUUGUGUUGUUUGCCUGCCAGUAUUUUGUAUUGUGAUUUCAGAUAGUUUGAUCUGUCGUCUUUUGAGUUUUCAUUCAAUCAUGCAGUAUACGACUGAGGCAACCUGAUCAAUGUCAGGUUUGACACAGUCGAGAACUGCUAGAUCAAACAAGCUUUCUGCGCCAAACAAAUAAUAAUUUGCAUAUAACUUGCACCAUGUUAUUAUCGCGGUAGAGAAAGCGACAGGCCCCCCCCCCCUGGGGGCCACAGGAAAA
rnacentral:lncRNA from 1 species